rnacentral:lncRNA from 1 species
AGAGAGAAAGAGAAGGGGGAACCCGUGUAGAGGCGGUGACAUGCGAUCUCUGUUUCCCUUCUAUUACACAAGAGAAGCCGCCCGCACUUCAAACAGCCUGGGCCCCCGGACAACUCUUGAAGGCGAGGAAUGAGCAGCGCAGAGACGCGCUAGAAAAUUCGCCACCACCUUUGUGUUUUCGCCACACAGCUCUCCACUCGAUCAUCUGGUGUGCGACUAGAGUUUCAGACACCGUGGCUGUAUUUCUGCAUGGGGAAAUGGAGGGAGUCUUUCACUGCAGUGUUCUCCACAACGCAGCGCUGGGUCUCUUUCUUUUUCAAGGGCUUCUAGCUGGGGGUGGUCCAGGCCCGGUUCUGGAGGGCUGGCAUGUCUUUGGGUGUUCAUUCCAACCCAGCUCAUAAUAAUCCCAAACCAACUUGCAAAACCUUCAUUGGAUAAAUCUACAAACCCCUCCCAGCUCCUCAGGUGCAGCAGCUUUAAAGAGAACCUAGAGAACCUGCAGUCACUGGGCCCCCUGAUGUUCAGCUGCUGG